rnacentral:rRNA from 1 species
UACGGAGGGUGCAAGCGUUGCUCGGAAUUACUGGGCGUAAAGGGCUCGUAGGCGGCCAACUAAGUCAGACGUGAAAUCCCCAGGCUCAACCUGGGAACUGCGUCUGAUACUGGAUGGCUUGAAUUCGGGAGAGGGAUGCAGAAUUCCAGGUGUAGCGGUGAAAUGCGUAGAUAUCUGGAGGAAUACCGGUGGCGAAGGCGGCAUCCUGGACCGACAUUGACGCUGAGGAGCGAAAGCUAGGGGAGCAAACGGG